GAAGUUAAUAAAAUAAAUUUAUAACUUUAAAAUAAGAAUUAGCUUUAAAAGUUAAGUAUAUUAGGCUUUAAAGGAAUACCUUAGAAGUAGGCAGCUACUAGCUGGGUAACUGGUUAGUAGCUACUAGUAUCUGAGCGCUAAAUCUCUUAGUAGGCUUUAGCUGUCUGGCGUAUAAUUAAUAACUAACUUAAAACUAGUAUAAAUAAGGGGAAUUUAACUAUUUAAUUAAAAUAUAAUAUUAUAAUAGCUAAAAAAUAGUAGUUUGUUAGAUGUAAAUACGCACACAACGCCAACUAU
rnacentral:ncRNA from 1 species